rnacentral:rRNA from 1 species
GAUGAGCGCUGGCGGCGUGCCUAAUACAUGCGAGUCGAGCGAACAGACGAGGAGCUUGCUCCUCUGACGUUAGCGGCGGACGGGUGAGUAACACGUGGAUAACCUACCUAUAAGACUGGGAUAACUUCGGGAAACCGGAGCUAAUACCGGAUAAUAUAUUGAACCGCAUGGUUCAAUAGUGAAAGACGGUUUUGCUGUCACUUAUAGAUGGAUCAGCGCCGCAUUAGCUAGUUGGUAAGGUAACGGCUUACCAAGGCAACGAUGCGUAGCCGACCUGAGAGGGUGAUCGGCCACACUGGAACUGAGAAACGGUACAGACUCCUACGCGAGGCCGCAGUAGGGAAUCUUCCGCAAUGCGCGAAAGCUUGACGUAGCAACGCCGCGUGAGUGAUGAAGGUCUUCGGCUCGUAAAGCUCUGUUAUUAGGGAAGAACAAAUGUGUAAGUAACUAUGCACGUCUUGACGGUACCUAAUCAGAAAGCCACGGCUAACUCCGUG